CUCUGGCCUGAAAUCAGGUAGGACUACCCGCUGAACUUAA
rnacentral:rRNA from 2 species